UACCAGCACCCCGAGUGGUCGGGACGAUUAUUGGGCCUAAAGCAUCCGUAGCCGGCCUUACAAGUCCUCCGUUAAAUCCAGCUGCUUAACAGAUGGGCUGCGGAGGAUACUAUAAGACUAGGAGGCAGGAGAGGCAAGCGGGUAGACUCAGUGGGUAGGGGUAAAAUCCGUUGAUCCAUUGAAGACCACCAGUGGCGAAGGCGGCUU
rnacentral:rRNA from 1 species